UGAGUAACGCGUGGGUAACCUGCCUUGUACAGGGGGAUAACAGUUGGAAACGGCUGCUAAUACCGCAUAAGCGCACGGCAUCGCAUGAUGCAGUGUGAAAAACUCCGGUGGUAUAAGAUGGACCCGCGUUGGAUUAGCUAGUUGGUGAGGUAACGGCCCACCAAGGCGACGAUCCAUAGCCGACCUGAGAGGGUGACCGGCCACAUUGGGACUGAGACACGGCCCAAACUCCUACGGGAGGCAGCAGUGGGGAAUAUUGCACAAUGGGCGAAAGCCUGAUGCAGCGACGCCGCGUGAGCGAAGAAGUAUUUCGGUAUGUAAAGCUCUAUCAGCAGGGAAGAUAAUGACGGUACCUGACUAAGAAGCACCGGCUAAAUACGUGCCAGCAGCCGCGGUAAUACGUAUGGUGCAAGCGUUAUCCGGAUUUACUGGGUGUAAAGGGAGCGCAGGCGGUGCGGCAAGUCUGAUGUGAAAGCCCGGGGCUCAACCCCGGUACUGCAUUGGAAACUGUCGUACUAGAGUGUCGGAGGGGUAAGUGGAAUUCCUAGUGUAGCGGUGAAAUGCGUAGAUAUUAGGAAGAACACCAGUGGCGAAGGCGACUUUCUGGACGAAAACUGACGCUGA
rnacentral:rRNA from 1 species